UACGGAGGGAGCUAGCGUUGUUCGGAUAUACUGGGCGUAAAGCGCACGUAGGCGGCGUCGUAAGUCAGGGGUGAAAUCCCGGAGCUCAACUCCGGAACUGCCCUUGAAACUGCAAUGCUAGAAUCUUGGAGAGGCGAGUGGAAUUCCGAGUGUAGAGGUGAAAUUCGUAGAUAUUAGGAAGAACACCGGUGGCGAAGGCGGCCCACUGGUCCGGUACUGACGCUGAGGUGCGAAAGCGUGGGGAGCAAACAGG
rnacentral:rRNA from 1 species